ACUAAACACCUUUCACAACGGAUCGUCCGGCACGUACCUGCCGGUGAAGGAAUAUUAA
rfam:Actinomyces sp. VTL4_3, complete genome.